rnacentral:rRNA from 1 species
GACGAACGCUGGCGGCGUGCCUAAUACAUGCAAGUUGAGCGCUGAAGGUUGGUACUUGUACCAACUGGAUGAGCAGCGAACGGGUGAGUAACGCGUGGGGAAUCUGCCUUUGAGCGGGGGACAACAUUUGGAAACGAAUGCUAAUACCGCAUAAAAACUUUAAACACAAGUUUUAAGUUUGAAAGAUGCAAUUGCAUCACUCAAAGAUGAUCCCGCGUUGUAUUAGCUAGUUGGUGAGGUAAAGGCUCACCAAGGCGAUGAUACAUAGCCGACCUGAGAAGGUGAUCGGCCACAGUGGGACUGGGACACGGCCCAAACUCCUACGGGAGGCAGCAGGAGGGAAUCCUCGGCAAAGGACGAAAGGCUGACCGAGCAACGCCGCGGGAGGGAAGAAGGUUUUCGGAUCGGAAAACUCGGUUGGUAGAGAAGAACGUAAGGGAGAGGGGAAAGCUCAUCAAGUGACGGUAACUACCCAGAAAGGGACGGCUAACUACGUG